rnacentral:rRNA from 1 species
GGCUGUCGCUGACUUUUAACGCAAAAGUCGUGCACGCCGGAGCGUGUCCUCUCACAUAAAAUCCAUCUCACCCUUUUGUGCACCACCGCGUGGGCACCCUUCGGGAUCAAACCGAUCCCGGAGGGGGCUUGCGUUUUCACACAAACCCCUUCUUAAAAGUGUAGAAUGUCCCCAUUUUUGCGAUAACACGCAAUCAAUACAACUUUCAACAACGGAUCUCUUGGCUCUCGCAUCGAUGAAGAACGCAGCGAAAUGCGAUACGUAAUGUGAAUUGCAGAAUUCAGUGAAUCAUCGAAUCUUUGAACGCACCUUGCGCCCCUUGGUAUUCCGAGGGGCACACCCGUUUGAGUGUCGUGAAAAUCUCAACCUUCUCGGUUUCUUCUGGACACCGAAGGAGGCUUGGACUUUGGAGGCCUUUGCUGGCGUCUCUCUCUCUUGAGAGAGCCAGCUCCUCUUAAAUGAAUUAGCGGGGUCCUCUUUGCUGGUCCUCGACAUGUGAUAAGAUGUUUCCAUGUCUUGGUUUCUGGCUCUGUUGCCUUUGGGACCCGCUUCUAACCGUCUCAACNAGACAACGUUUGAGCGCGUCUCCCUUCUCGGGAGACCCUCUCAACCUCACGAACCCU